UCUAACCUCUGAGCUAAGCGGGC
rnacentral:tRNA from 1 species